CACGUAGGGACCAAGCGUUGUCCGGAUUCAUUGGGCGUAAAGGGCGCGUAGGCGGCGGGGUAAGUCGGGUGUGAAAUCUCAGAGCUCAACUCUGAAACUGCACUCGAUACUGCUCUGCUUGAGGACUGGAGAGGAGACUGGAAUUCACGGUGUAGCAGUGAAAUGCGUAGAUAUCGUGAGGAAGACCAGUGGCGAAGGCGGGUCUCUGGACAGUUCCUGACGCUGAGGCGCGAAGGCCAGGGGAGCAAACGGG
rnacentral:rRNA from 1 species